rnacentral:rRNA from 1 species
UGAAAAGAACUUGGAGAGAGAGUUCAAGAGAACGUGAAAUCGUUGAGGUGGAACCGGAGAGAGUUGACGUAGUCUGGUGGAUAAGUAUUAUAAGAAUCGUAUUCAUUAGUUUGAAUAUGAUCAAAUAAUAUGUAUGCCAUCAAUGACUGUGCUGACAGCAUCGGCUGCACAAUCCGAACUAUGUCGACAUGUUGCUCAUUCUAUUAAUUUAGAGUGAUGUCUUGUGUUACGUUGUAAGGUUUGUUGCGUGUUGAUGUUGAUAAAUGUGUAAUUAUUUGUAAAAUAAUUAUGUCAGCGUAAAAGUCAACCACCUCUCCGACCCGUCUUGAAACACGGAA